AAGGGGAGCGCCGGAUCCUGGGCUGUGUCCCCCUGCGCCUUGGGCUCCAGGGCCUGUGCGCUGGAAUUGCGCUCCCGGGUUGCUCAGCCCCCU
rnacentral:pre_miRNA from 1 species